GCGGGGAUUCCCAAGUCUGGUCUAAGGGGCAAGGCUCAGGACCUUGUGGCGUAGGCCUUCGAGGGUUCAAAUCCCUCUCCCCGCACCA
rnacentral:tRNA from 1 species